GGGUUGCCACAGUGGUUGGAGCGUAGGUCUCGUAACCGAAAGGUCGCGGGAUCGAAUCCCGCGAGAGGCUG
rnacentral:tRNA from 1 species